rnacentral:rRNA from 1 species
AACGAACGCUGGCGGCAUGCCUAACACAUGCAAGUCGAACGAGACCUUCGGGUCUAGUGGCGCACGGGUGCGUAACGCGUGGGAACCUGCCCUUAGGUUCGGAAUAACUCCCCGAAAGGGGUGCUAAUACCGGAUAAUGUCUUCGGACCAAAGAUUUAUCGCCUUUGGAUGUGCCCGCGUUGGAUUAGCUAGUUGGGAGGGUAAAAGCCUACCAAGGCGACGAUCCAUAGCUGGUCUGAGAGGAUGAUCAGCCACACUGGGACUGAGACACGGCCCAGACUCCUACGGGAGGCAGCAGUGGGGAAUAUUGGACCAUGGGCGAAAGCCUGAUCCAGCAAUGCCGCGUGAGUGAUGAAGGCCUUAGGGUUGUAAAGCUCUUUUACCCGGGAUGAUAAUGACAGUACCGGGAGAAUAAGCUCCGGCUAACUCCGUG